UACGUAGGGGGCAAGCGUUGUCCGGAAUCAUUGGGCGUAAAGCGCGUGUAGGCGGCCAGAUAAGUCCGUUCUGAAAGCCCGGGGCUCAACCCCGGGAGGCGGAUGGAUACUGUUUGGCUCGAGUCCGGAAGAGGCGAGUGGAAUUCCUGGUGUAGCGGUGAAAUGCGCAGAUAUCAGGAGGAACACCUAUUGCGAAGGCAGCUCGCUGGGACGUAACUGACGCUGAGACGCGAAAGCGUGGGGAGCGAACAGG
rnacentral:rRNA from 1 species